ACUGCUCAGUAACACGUGGACAACCUGCCCUUAGGUUGGGUAUAAACCCGGGAAACUGGGUAUAAUACCCGAUAGGUCUCGAUUGCUGGAAUGCAUCGAGAUUUAAAGCUCCGGCGCCUAAGGAUGGGUCUGCGGCCUAUCAGGUAGUAGUGGGUGUAGCGUACCUACUAGCCUACGACGGGUACGGGUUGUGAGAGCAAGAGCCCGGAGAUGGAUUCUGAGACACGAAUCCAGGCCCUACGGGGUGCAGCAGGCGCGAAAACUUUACAAUGCUGGCAACAGCGAUAAGGGAACCUCGAGUGCCAGGUUACAAAUCUGGCUGUCGAGAUGCCUAAAAAGCAUUUCAUAGCAAGGGCCGGGCAAGACCGGUGCCAGCCGCCGCGGUAACACCGGCGGCUCGAGUGGUAACCGUUAUUAUUGGGUCUAAAGGGUCUGUAGCCGGCCGGAUAAGUCUCUUGAGAAAUCUGGCAGCUUAACUGUCAGGCUUUCAGGAGAUACUGUCUGGCUCGAGGCCGGGAGAGGUGAGAGGUACUUCAGGGGUAGGGGUGAAAUCUUGUAAUCCUUGAAGGACCACCAGUGGCGAAGGCGUCUCACCAGAACGGACCUGACGGCAAGGGACGAAAGCUAGGGGCACGAACCGGAUUAGAUACCCGGGUAGUCCUAGCCGUAAACGAUACUCGCUAGGUGUCGGCCACGGUGCGACCGUUGUCGGUGCCGCAGGGAAGCCGUGAAGCGAGCCACCUGGGAAGUACGGCCGCAAGGCUGAAACUUAAAGGAAUUGGCGGGGGAGCAC
rnacentral:rRNA from 1 species